GCCCACGUAGCUCAGUCGGACAGAGCAGGGACCUCCUAAGUCCAAGGUCGCAGGUUCGAAUCCUGCCGUGGGCG
rnacentral:tRNA from 1 species